rnacentral:rRNA from 1 species
UACGAAGGGUGCAAACGUUGCUCGGAAUUAUUGGGCGUAAAGCGCACGUAGGCGGCAUUGCAAGUCCCAUGUGAAAUCCCACGGCUCAACCGUGGAAGUGCAUUCGAAACUGCAGGGCUAGAGUCCUGGAGAGGAAGGUGGAAUGCUUGGUGUAGAGGUGAAAUUCGUAGAUAUCAAGCGGAACACCGGUGGCGAAGGCGGCCUUCUGGACAGUGACUGACGCUGAGACGCGAAAGCGUGGGGAGCAAACAGG